UCCUCUAAAUAACACAGUCAUUAUAUAUUUUUUUAAAAAAAUCAAUCAACUCCUCUUUGAGAUAACAAAGAGUUUGCUUCUAUUAUAUCUGCCCUAGUGGAUUAAAAUCAGUCUUUUCUAUACAGUAGUAAACAAUUCUUUAUUUCCAGCAAAUAACAAUACAUCAGCAUCACAGUUUUUCCCCCUUCUACAAGUAACAACUUUCCCUUUGUACUUUUGUUCAGUAAUGUUUUUCUGUGAGCCACUUUAUUUUGCUGACAAGUAUGUCCCCUCCCCUAAUGAAGAGAUGUGCAAUCUAUUGUUCAUCCGACCCAUUCUGUUGCUAACAAUGACACAGUACCUACUUUAUGUCACGUUCUACUGCGUGACUAAUGAGAACAUAACAUUUGAGCUGUACAUUUGUAUUCUUAGAAGCCUCAAAUUAGCACAAUUUUUAAUAUAACAAUAAUCCUAUUAGCAUAAUUUCCCUGCUUUUGAAUGAUAACAUGCUCAAGUAAAUUUAAAUGGUUUAAAUUAUAGACUAUGUAGACCAUUAAAACUAUUAAAGAGAUCACACUAGCCGAUUCUUGAUCCAAAAUUACAGCAUGCUAGAGUCACCCUUGCUACGGUUUGAAUGCAGUCCUAAAUAAUCUGAUGUAAUUGUUUCCAAUUUGCUCUCUUCCACUACUUUGCAGUUUUGUAAUCUUCAUAUCAUUGUCACAGUAAUUAAUCUUAUGCACAUGGCAACCGAAAUUAAAGAACCACAGAGACAUCUUUGAUUUAGUACGAUCUGUUCUAGCCACUCUUAAUCAGGUUCGGCAAUUACAGCCUGGUAACACAAUCUGAAGGAACAAUAAUUGAUCUUGAGAAAAGUUAGACCAAUGAGAACUACCAAAAUUGAUAUUUAACUUCAGUAAAUGAAACACUCUUUUAGUUGGGUGCUUAUAUCCUUUAAAUUAAACAUCUUAGGUUCUCACCUGUAAGCUACUGAUCAGCAAACACAAACUCUUUUUUUUGUGGAAACUCUCAGAGCACGCUCACUAUUGGCAUUCCCACAUUUUCUUCUUUUAGUCUACUUUUUUAUUUUCCUCUAGGCAUAAGCCAUACACGUCCAUUUUCUUUUAAAGUUCCUACUUUCUUUACUGCAUGUAGGUGUACCUCAGGUCUCACACCCUACAGAGCUCAGGGCCGGUCCCAGGGCCUCACGGGCAGCUCCUCGCCCGCAGCCCCGCCCUGCCUCCAGCUGUCCCUCAUCACCGGGCCAGCCCCUACCUCACCUUCCCCGUGCUCCGAGCGCCUCAGCCGAAUGGUGGGACACGUUCUCCUUAGGAAACCUCCUGUGAUUCCUCUUUCUCUUCUAGACCAGGAGCUCCUGAAAAAGGAGACUGAAGCAAGGCUGCUUCAAGCUGCUGAGUUGUUCCUACACCCGCACUCAGUGGUUACUGAGCUAAAGCACUUUCUCCUCUGAUACUUUUCUCAAGGCAAUCCCUAAGAAGGCACCGCUGCUCCCAAAAGGGGACCAAAAAACACGUAAGGAGCUAGCACAAAAGGCCAAAGAAAGCGGAAUCCUUCCGUACUUUAGGACACCCACAGCGCCGCGUUACCCCGCGCGGCAGCUCGGCUCUCUACUGCCCGCAGGGGGCGCUCGGAAUGGCGGCGCCUCCUUCUGGCGGGAACGGGCAUGCAGGCGGCUCCCCACUUCGGGCAGGGGUGGUGGCUGCGCCGCGACCCGCGAAGGACCCUCCCGCAGAAGAGGGGUAUUAUAUCAGCUCAGCGUGACCAAAGGAACGUCAUCCUCCCAGGUUCUGCAAGAUGGCUGAAAUUUAACUAAAGAAUAUUGUGACAAACAGUCAUGAGGUGGAAAGGAACUCAAGUCAUGGAAAGAUCAAUGGUAGCUGCUUUUAAAUGAGCAGGGCAUGCUGGAACAGAAUUCAUCCUGAAAAUAACACCAAAAGUAUAAUAGUGUUACACUCAUUAGAAGAGCUGUAAAAGAGUGUUUCAACUCUGUGAAGAAUAUGUGCAGUGGAGGCUGAAGACUUAUGUCAAAGUGAGUAAAAUCACAUAAAAGACAAUAUUCCUGUUUCUGCAUUUGGUAACUGCUAAUCUUUGUCUUGCAUUAGUGUUUGGAGGCCAGAGUAUCAUAAAUACCAUUAAAAAUGCUUUUGAGAAAAUAUGUGGAAAAUGACUGUAAUUAUCCACAUUCUCUUGGGAUCUCUCAGAAAGGAUGCCAGAAAGAAGGGACUUGUGUAAAAUAUUCUAGGAAGAAGCACGCUUGCUACCUCUGUAAUCACUGAUCCAUGGCCAGCUGCAGCUUUACAAGUAAUAUUAAAAACCACAAAAAAACACCCAAACUUAGCAGGUAGAAGUUGUACCCAAUUAACUCCUAAAACAGUACUGAUCUUAAAAUAAAUAAAUUAAAAUUUGAGGAUAUGUUAAAUUGCUGUUUAAGCCCCUUACACGAUAUUAAAUGUAUUAACACACAGCACUCUACAUCCAGCAAUCACUAACGAGUGCUUCUGCUGCCUUCUCCUUUACUUCCCCAACCUGUGACUGAUAAACGUAUUCCAGCAGCACAGCAGAAGGUUGCCACUAAAGUCAAUGGGAGACUGUGUGUAAUGCUAAAGUAUUUUUAUUAAUUUUCUUUACAAGCAUUUGAUGUAUUUUUUAAACUUUUAUCAAAAUAAAGCAUUUAGCAUACAGUAUUUUCACACAUUUUGGAGACAGAAAAAAUUAUUUUGAAGUCUUUCAUGCAUUGAUAGGUCAUUUAACUCAGUUUUUUGUCACUGGUUCAUUUUAAA